UGGAAGUAAAAGUCGUAACAAGGUCUCCGUUGGUGAACCAGCGGAGGGAUGAUUACCGAGUUUAC
rnacentral:rRNA from 1 species